CUAUCAUCCUCAACACCUCAAGUCUUCAAACCUCAGAUACUCCAAUACAAACAAUGGCUUUCCAUCUACGAUCAGUUAGCCUGCCAUCUAAGAGGCUCUCCAAUGAAGCUGAAGUCGAAGCCGAGCUGCAAAGCCUGGAGGCAAGCACCUCUUCCCCUUCUGCAACCAUCGAGUCAGCAUGCGAUGGUUUGAGGAGGCUUGGAGAUGUCUACAGCCACAUCGAGGAGAUCAUCCACUUGCCUAGCAACCAAGUUUGCUCCAUCCAGCAAAGGAAGGAGUUGGACGAGGAAAUGGAAAGUUCUCUCGAGAUAAUCGAUCUCUGCAAUGCCAUGCAAGAGAACUUUGCCGAGCUGAAGACCACCAUCCAAGAUCUGCUGGUGGUCCUCAGAAGGGGAGACGAUUCAAACACUCAGGCCAAGGUCCUUUCAUACAUCCGCUUGGUCAAGAAGGCGCAGAAGCAAUCCAAGAAGACUAGCAAAAAGCCUACCUCUAACGAGUGCAAGCUGGUCAGGCUAUUGCUCAAGGCUAGAUUGGUCGCCGCCUCUCUUCUUGAGUUAGCACUGCGCCUCGUAUCCAAGCAAGGGGUGAUGCCCAAGAGGUCUCUUGUCUCCAAAGCAUUCCAGAAGAGAAACGUGGUUGUUUGCAAGGAGGAGCAGUUGCAGGCGUUAGAGUGCAUCAUUGGAGAUCUUGAGCAUGGAGCAGAACAACUGUUCAGGAGGAUGAUCCAGAGCAGAGUUGCUAUCCUAAACAUCCUUAGCUCAUAGAUUCUCCUCAAGUUUAGACACUCUAACAUCCUGCGAUUGGCCUCCGCAUUUUAAAGGAUCUGCCAAUCCUCACACAUGUACAGUACCUGUAAAUGUACAGAGAAAGUAGUGAAAUUGAAGAAAACAAUUUUGAUCCAGACAAACUUUCCUGUCCAACAGUCUAUACAUGUUUCUGAUUUCAGUAGCAGUUUCAUCUUUUUGAGUUGAGCACAAAACGUAAUUACGCUAACUACAUGAUUACCAGCAAUAAUGCUCUGGUCAGUGGCCACCCACUAACUUCCACUACCUAAAGGUCAGUGGGUCUAAAUUUCUCAAAAGCAUGUGCAUCUCGCUUUGAUUUCCAAAGUGGCCAUGUUACCCGCACUUGUUUAGCCCCGCAAUAAGCACCCCAUCCCCUUGCUGCGCGGAUCACGCUGGCACGCCAGCUCCGCCCCACGAGGCAUCACCGUGUGAUUAGGCGGUUUAGCAUUAUUGGGUUUGUUCAAUCGCCCAAAUUGCAAGCGCGAUAUGCACCAUGCGCGGCAACUUUCCCGGCAUCCAAAAUUACAGUGCUUCCCCUUGUUAUUCGUAAUGGAGUAACACCAAUCGAGCAGAACCAAUUCAUGGAUCAGCAGUUGGGAUGAAUGAUAAGAUAACGCCAGCUGUUCGAAGUAAAGAACCAAAAUGGAGUAGUAGGAAAGUGGGGGAGGUCAAAGCGCAGCUCAUGAUUGCCAGAGCCCUGGUCUUGUGGCUGGAUAGGGUGCAGGAAUAUCGGUCCUUAUCGCAGGAUGAGUCCAGUUUAAGGAGUCAGCUCAAAUGCAAAAUCCUUGAUCUUUCUUCUCUCGAGCGCACCAUAGCACGCCAACGCUCUAGGCUUGUGUUCCUGAAGGAGGGUGACGCCAACACUAAACUUUUCCAUAUACAUGCAAGCCACCGCACAAGAAAGAAGCACAUUGCCAGGCUUGAGCAUGAGGGCGUCACUGCAAUCACACACGACGAGAAGGAACUGCUCCUAUUCAACUACUUUGGGAUGAUCCUCGGAACACCAUCGUCAAGAACAGAUGCCAUCGACCUAAGUCUGCACCCAGUCGACCUCAAUCACCUGGAUGCACCAUUCCCUGAGCAGGAGGUCUGGAGAACUAUUGUUGAGCUACCAAAUGAGCGCGCCCCCGGGCCGGAUGGCUUCACGGCGGAGUUUUACAGAGCAGCCUGGCCGGUGAUCAAGAGAGACGUUCUUGCAUGUUUUGACGCGCUCUACCAUGGGGCAUGCGUCCAAUUUGGCCGCCUGAACAGCUCUCUUAUCACACUGAUACCGAAAAGGCAAGACGCGGUGUCCCCGGCCGAUUACAGACCUAUUAGCCUUGUUCACACUUUCGCGAAGCUUGUGGCGAAGCUGCUUGCUAACCGGCUUGGUCAGGAGCUGCACAACCUGGUGGACAUGAACCAGAGCGCGUUCGUCAAGCGACGGUCAAUCCAUGAUAACUUCAAGUUUGUGGAGCUAGCUGCGAAAACCUUGCACCGAAAACGUAAGCCCAGCCUUCUAAUUAAGCUUGACAUCUCAAAGGCAUUCGACACAGUCUGCUGGCCAUUUCUCCUGCAAGUUCUACAGGCGAGAGGAUUUAGGACUAAGUGGAGGGACUGGAUCUCUGUGCUCAUGUCCUCGGCCACCACUAGAAUACUGCUAAAUGGUUCCCCAGGUCGGUCAAUACGCAAUGCUAGAGGGCUGCGACAAGGCGAUCCACUUUCGCCAAUGCUUUUCAUUCUCGUCAUGGAAGUGCUGCACCGGCUCCUCAGGAGGGCGGCAGAGCAGGGAGUCGUCUCCCACCCGGCUGAUAACGCCAUCUGCCAUCAGUGCUCUUUAUACGCUGACGACGUGAUAAUAUUUGCUAGGCCAGUGGCCCAGGAUGCCAUCGCCAUUAAAGGGAUUCUUGACUUCUUCGGCAAUGCUUCUGGGCGGCUUCUGGGCGGCGUACAAAUCUGCAGAAGUGCUCCAUCGCUCCAAUUGCUUGCAGUGAUCAGCAAAUUGAGAGAAUCAGAGGUAUUUUCCCUGCUCAAGUGGUAGGGUUUCCCAUACAGUAUCUUGGCAUGCCCCUAUAGCUUCGGCGCUUGAGAAAGACCCAUUUCCAACCAUUGAUUGACAAAGUGGCCGGUAAAAUCCCUAGCUGGAAGGCUCAACUCAUGAACAAGGCGGGGAGGCUAACCGUGGUCCAAUCAGUCCUGACAGCGACCUGCACCUACAAUCUAAUCUCCCUUGACAUCCCGGCCUGGGUAUUCCAUGAAAUUGACAAACUCCGAAAAGGCUUUCUGUGAGCAGGAAAGCAGGCUGCCAAUGGAGGGCAAUGUGCAGUGGCCUGGCCAAUUGCAUGCCGUCCUAAACUUGUGGGUGAUCUAGGUAUUCAGGACCUCAGAAUGGCAUCGCUGACCCUCCGUUUGCGCUGCCUGUGGUUCAAGAGGACUGAUGAUCAGCGGCCAUGGAAGUACCUAGCCAAUACACUGGACAACAAUCACACCUUGCAUAAAAUCUUCCAAAUUUCCACCCGUGUACACUUGGGCAACGGGAACAUUGCACUCUUCUGGGAUGACUGCUGGCUUGGCAACCUUUCUCCCUGCAUUUUAGCUCCUGAGCUGUGUCUCAUGGUACAGCCAAAAAUCAGAAAAACAAGAUCUGUGGCGGCUGCACUUCAGGGGAAAAGAUGGAUCCGGGACAUUGCCGGACGCCUAACAGUGGCUGCAAUCUCGCAAUACGUCCAGCUAUGGCACGCUGUAUCUGAGGUCCAGCUCCAGGAAGGAGCAAUCGACACGAUCUCGUGGCGUUGGGAGAAUUCAGGAACAUACUCCGCUAGGUCGGCCUACAACUUCUUCUUCAUUGGGUCAGUAAAAUCCCCGGCAUUUGGUUGUAUCUGGCGAGCUUGGGCCCCCCUUCGAGUUAAGCUUUUCAUGUGGCUUGCUAUGAUGCAACGAUUAUGGACCUCGGCUCGCCGUAAGAAACAUGGGCUACAGAACUGGGACGAGUGCUAUCUUUGUUGCUAGGAGCCCGAGACCUCUGAUCAUCUGCUUGCCACUUACAGCUACACGAAGCAGGUAUGGUACUCGGUAGAUCAAAUGACAGGCAACGCCUCCUUCCUGCCAGCCCCCGGGUCUUCACUCAUGGAUUGGUGGCUGCUUCGGAGGCGAAGCUUCCAUGGCACCAGGAAGAAAGGGAUUGACACCACAACCAUCUUGGUCUCCUGGCGUAUUUGGAAAGAGCGAAAUAAUCGAGUAUUCAACAGAGAUCCUCAACAGACGCUGCAACAGCUAGCAGCAGCAGUCGCGGACGAAGCGGCGAUCUAGUUCAUGGCUGGGGCACACUGCCUGUAUAGUGUAGGAUGGCAUUUUGAUAGUUUGUGACGCUUUGGUGUUGGUAGUUUAAUGUCUAGGAGCUCCCGUCUCAUGUAAUUAGCCCCUAGAAUCACUUCUACCGUGUGCGUGCUCCCGGUUUAGACCCGCGUUGUAUAAGCACUAUCUAUUUCUUCUUAAUGGAAUGAUGCGCAGCUCUCCUGCGUAUUCUAGAAAAAAAAAGAAGUAAAGAACGGAGAGCAGAGUGAGACCUCGUGGAUUGUGUGGGUAGCACGGAAGCGACCCCCACGGUGCAGCCGGCGGAGGUCCUCGGCGGACGGCAGUGGCGGCGACCUCGACGGUGCCCCGGGCGGAGCUCCAAUCCCCGUCCCCGGCGUCGGCGCCGCCGCUUUUGUCCUUCCUAUGUUGAAAGGCCACCUAGUUCCGCCGUACCUGGGCCGGGUCUUAGGGCUGCUACUGGGCCCAUAUGCAUUGAAAAGAAGCUUCCCGGCCCAAAAACUGAGGCCCCGACAGAGUCAACUAUGAUUACGACGAAUGGAUCCAUGAUGACGAGGUGGAAGUCGCCGGCAAUUGUCAGCGUUCAUCCAUCCAUCCAUGCCGCUGCUGCGGCAAGCACGCCGUGCCCAUCCGGCCGCGACGCCGUACGCCAAAGGGCGUCCACCCUGUUGCCGCCGGGGAAGAAAAACGGACAGCCUUGACGGCGGCGAGGACGGCGCGCCAGUGGGCACCCUCCCUGACGACGUGCUCUCUGCGAUCUUCUCCCGGGUGCCCUCGGGCGACGCCGGGGUUGCGCGUUGCGCCGCGACGUGCAGGCGCUGGGGCCGCGUCGUGGCCUCGCGCGCCGCCGUCAUCGCCCACGCCCUGCCCAGGCCGUGCGCCGUCAUCGCUCUAGGACGGGAGCAGUUCUGUGAACUCCGUUCAAGGAUUGGUGUAGUCAAUAUUCAAAGUGUGCGCAAGGCUUAGGAGGAGAUUUGUUGGGUAAUCCUUGCCACACACCGUAGUUAGUUGCAGUUUUCAGUUUAGCUCAGUAACGUUUUGUUUUCAGAAUGCAUGCGCAUGAGCUCCGAGCUUUGUGGAUGCCAUGCGCGCGUGUAUAUAGCCGUGGCGAGAAUAGCUCGCGCACUACUGAGAGUGCCGAGGUUUCAGCGGCGUCGUUGAGCGUGGGGAUGGACGCGCUCUUCCAGCGGCGUGCGGCCGGACUUGUAGGCCACUCGUUUGCAUUGUAAUCACCAAUAAAAGGUGAAUGAAAAAACAAGAAAUGCUGCUGGUUGUUCGCAGCGCAAACCACUGUGUUCGAGUGUUCAUCGCGUUUGCGUGUGUAUGUGUGUGUGUGCGAGCUCAAGUAGCUCUCAGGACCCUCGCCGGCGUUCUUGUGCGCCACCCGGGGUCUAACAACGGCCUCACCCUCUGCGUGUGCAACCGAUGACGGGGGAGGCGGCCGUGCUCCGGCCCCUCGCUGGCGACGACUGCCCUGGCUACUAUGCAUGCUACUCACCGGGGACGACCUCGACGUCGUGCCACCGCGCUGCUGCUCGCUGGGAUUCUUCCGGCUUCUGCUCGUCUACAACCGCUGCAGCUUCACGGCGUUGAGGUGCUACUCCUCGAACGCCGGCAGCUGAGGUCCGGAAGGCCGGAAGCCCGGCGCCAAGAUGAGCAGCCGCAUGCUGCAGCAGCUAGGUCCGGCGGUCUGUGGUCAAGCUAGUAAUCCUGAGUUCUCGCUCAUCUGUUAGUUGUUAGUUUCUAUCCUAGCUAUUCGUUGCAUCAGUUAGUUUUCUGUUAGCUAGAGUUUUGGGCUCGGCUCGGACUUCAUCCUCCCGAGCGCGUCAUGUGCAUCGUGUGCAUGUUGUGCGGCAUGAUCUGCAUGUGGGAUGGCACAUGCGCCUGGAUCAUGCCGGGCAUAACGGAGGGCACGAGUAGAGCUCGGCCACUCCUUCCUGAAUAAGCAUUGUACAAAUAGUUUGCAAUACAUACAGAAAAGCCGCAACGGUUUAGCGCAGCACAAAAAACACUUCCCUGUGUUCAUCUCUGUCCAACAGAGCUCGCCGGAGAGAAUUCCGGCUAACAUUUGGCCUCAGAGCUAUUCGAUCCCAGGGACCUGAUGUCUGCCAGGUCGGAGCCGCGUCUACCAGGUCGGAGCCGCGUGGCGGCCUGUCCCGCACGCCGCCACGCCACCGUCGCCCCUCGCUCUCGCCUACGCCCCGCCGCGGCCGCCGUCCUGCCGAAGUGAUCAUCCGACGGACAGUCAAGGAGACCGGCACCACCGUCCAGUACCCCACGCUCACUCGCUCCAACUAUCAGGAGUGGUCGAUGUUGAUGCAGGUGAACAUGGAGGCGGCGGGCAUCUGGUAAGCCAUCGAGCCAGAGGAGGAAGACGUCAUCGACUACCCCGACGACCGCCUAGCAAUGGCGGCCAUCCUGCGCUCCGUCCCGCCGGAGAUGCUCCCCUCGCUGCGUGGGAAGCGCACAGCGCAAGCUGCGUGGGACGCAGUAAAGACGAUCCGCGUCGGCGUUCAACGUGUGCGCGAGUCGACUGCCCAGCAGCUCCGAUGAGAGUUCGCGGCGCUGGCAUGGAAGGAGGGAGAGACGGCAGAGGACUUCUCUGUCCGCAUCACCGGCUUGGCGAACAACUUGCGCAUCCUCGGCGACGACAUCGCGGACGUAGAGAUCGUCCGCAAGAUGCUGUAGGUCGUCCCCGAGCAUCUCUCCCAGGUGGCCAUCUCCAUCGAAACUCUCCUCGACCUCAACACUAUCUCCGUCGAGGAGGUGACCGGGCGUCUGCGCGCCGUCGAGCAACGCCGCAAGCCAGCCCCCGUCGUCGACAACCAGGGCCGGUUGCUCCUUUGUGAGGAGGACUGGCUCGCUAGGCUCAAGAUCCGCGAGUCCGAGGGAAAAGGUGGCGGGAGCAGUUCCAGCAGUGGGAGUGGCGCCGGUGGCAAGAAGUGCGGCGGCCGCGGACGCGACUGUGGCCGUGGCAACUCCACCUCACACGACGGCAACCGCGGCGAGUCCGGCCCAGCGCCGGCCAGCAACCGCGAGCAAUGCAAGCGCUGCGGCAAAUACGGCCAUUGGGCCAAAGAUUGCCGCAGCAAGCCCAGGGCGGAGGUCCACGUCGUGCAAGCUGAGCAGGAUGUCGAGCCCACCCUGCUGAUGGUCCACGGCACUCUCUUCCCCAACACUAUGGCUCCUCCACGCGCCGCCACGGCCGCCGUCCCACUGCUGUUUGAGCACCGGCCCCUAUGCAUCGUAGAGGCGAAGGUCUUCGCUUAGCUUGAUGGCGACUCGGAGCGCGACGAUAGCCUUUGGUACCUCGACAGCGGGGCGACAAAUCACAUGUCCGGCUGCCGCAACGCCUUCAUCGACAUCGACACGGCGAUUCGCGGCACUGUCAAGUUCGGCGAUGGCUCGGAGGUCGCCAUCGAGGGGUCCGGCACCGUGCUAUUUGAGGGGAAGACCGGAGGGCACCUCCCUAUCACGGGGGUGUAUUUCAUCCCGAGGCUGACCACCAACAUUAUCAGCCUCGGCCAACUCGACGAAGGAGGCUGCGACAUCCACGCCAACGAAGAUGUUCUUCGGAUCCGCGACAACCAGGGCUGGUUGAUCGUGCGAGUCAAGGGCUCGCCGAACCGGCUGUAACAGCUGUGGGUGAAGAUUGCGCGGCCGCUCUGCCUGGCUGCGCGCGCCACCGACAGCACGUGGCUCUGGCAUGAGCGCUACGGUUAUCUCCACUUCGAUGCCCUGCGCAAGCUCGAGCAACGGGGGAUGGUUCAUGGACUGCCGUACAUCGACCGUGUGCACCAACUCUGCGCCGACUGCAUCACCACCAAGCUCAAGAGGAGCCCGUUCCCGUCGCAGGCAAAGCGGCGGGCGGACGGACUGUUGGAUCUGGUCCAUGGCGACUUGUGCGGUCCCAUCACACCGGUGACUCCCGGUGGUAUGCAGUAUUUCCUUCUGCUGGUUGAUGACAAGAGCAGGUACAUGUAGGUGGCACUACUCGCCGCCAAGAGCCACACUCUCGCUGCCGUGAAGAAGUUCCAGGUGCGAGUGGAGGUGGAAACAGGUCGGCGUCUGCGUGUUCUGCGAACGGACAAUGGGGGUGAGUUCACCUCCGUCGCGUUCGAGACCUACUGCUCCGAGCACGGCAUUGAACGGCAGCACACCGCGCCAUAUAUGCCGCAACAAAACGGCGUUGUGGAGCGAAGGAAUUAGAUGGUCGUCGCCACCGCGCGUAGCCUCCUGAAGAGCAGGAACAUGCCAGCGAUAUUUUGGGGAGAAGCUGUCGCCAGUGCUGUCUACUUGCUGAACAGGGCACCCACCAAGGCCGUCGACGGCAUGAUGCCGCACGAGGCCUGGCACGGCCGCCGGCCCGACGUCCACUACCUGUGCACGUUUGGCUGCGUCGCUUACAUCAAGGUGACGAAGCCGAACCUGAAGAAGCUGGAUGACCAUGGCACGCCGGUGAUUUUCAUCGGUUAUGAGCUGGGCGCCAAGGCGUGGCGCUUCUAUGACCCGACGUCGCGGCGUGCCGUCGUGUCCAGAGACGCGGUCUUCAACGAGCUGGCAUCCUGGACUUGGAAGGACGAGGACCUGAGCACCGGCUUGGCCUUCAUCAUUGAGUACCGCGACGUCGAUAUUGCAGCUGCCUCGCCUGAACCCGCAACGCCACCAACAACAUCGCCACCAGCAGCAAGUACACACACACCAGCUCCGACAGCGCCGCCACUACCCCUGGCCGAGUUCGUUUCUCCACCACCUGACGCGGAGGACUACCUGGACGCCGACAACGACGACGACGUCGAGCCGCGAUACCGCACCAUCGACAACAUCAUCGGCGCCGCGACAACACCGGGCUACGCCGCAUGGCAGGUAGCUGCUGAGCUCCAUCUGCAGGUUGAGGAGGAGCCGGCCUCUUUCGUCAAGGCCGAGAAGCACCCAUCCUGGCGGCGCGCCAUGCUAGAGGAGAUGGACUCCAUUGAGAGCAACAAGACGUGGCGGCUGACACCCCUUCUGCCCGGACACCGACCGAUCGGGCUGAAGUGGGUUUACAAGGCGAAGAAAAACGCUGCCGGCGAGGUCGUCAAACACAAGGUGCAGCUCGUGGCAAAGGGCUAUGUCCAGCAGCUGGGUGUGGACUUCGAUGAGGUGUUCGCGCGCGUGGCCCGCAUCGAAUCAAUGCGACUCCUGCUCGCGCUUGCUGCCCAGGAGGGGUGGCCGGUGCACCACAUGGAUGUGAAGUCCGUGUUUUUAAACGGGGAGCUGGUUGAGGAGGUGUACGUUCGCCAACCUCCCGGUUUCACCGUCGCCGGCCAUGAAGACAAGGUACUGCGCCUGGACAAGGCGCUUUAUGGACUGCGUCAAGCACCGCGUGCGUGGAACGCGAAACUCGACGAGACGCUGGUGGCGCUCGGCUUCAGCCACAGCGCGUCGGAGCACGCCGUCUACGCUCGCGGUGUGGGCACUUCUCGGCUACUGGUGGGGGUCUACGUGGAUGACCUCAUCAUCGGAGCACGCCGUCUACGCUCGCGGUGUGGGCACUUCUCGGCUACUGGUGGGGGUCUACGUGGAUGACCUCAUCAUCACCAGGAACGAUGCCACUGAGAUCGUCAAGUUCAAGCAGCAGAUGUGCUCCAGGUUCAAAAUGAGCGACCUUGGCUUGCUUUGUUUUUUACUUGGGUAUUGAAGUGCAACAGGCAGGCGACGGCAUCAGGCUCUCUCAGGCAGCUUAUGCGCGCAAGAUUCUGGAACGCGCGGGCAUGGGGUCCUGCAACCCGUGCCACACUCCAAUGGAGCCCCGCCUGAAGCUGUCGACGGCAAGCACGGCCACGCUGGUGGACGCCACUAAGUACCGGGGACUAGUUGGUUGUCUUCGGUAUCUGGUGCAUACAAGACCGGACAUCACCUUCGCCGUCGGCUACGUGAGCCGCUUCAUGGAGCGACCCACCUCCGAGCACCUCAACGCAGUGAAGCGAAUACUAAGGUACAUCGCUGGCACAAUUGACUAUGGAUGCCAUUACAAGCACGGUGGCCAGGAGCCAAAAUUGCUGGGGUACAGCGACGCCGACAUGGGCGGCGAUGUUGAUACAAGAAAGAGUACAACUGGUGUGUUGUUCUUCUAUGGUUCCUGUCCAGUGAGUUGGCAGUCUCAGAAGCAAAAGGUCGUCGCGUUAUCUUCCUGCGAAGCUGAGUAUAUUGCAGGGACAACGGCGGCCUGUCAAGGAGUUUGGUUGGCGCAGCUGGUUGCAGAGCUAAAGAGCAAGCGGCGCGCUGCUUUCAUUCUCAAGAUGGACAACCAAUCGGCUAUUGCACUCAGUAAGAAUCCUGUAUUCCAUGAUCGUAGUAAACAUAUUGAUGUGAGAUUUCAUUUUAUCCGGGAAUGUGUUGGAGACGGGAAGCUGGACAUUGAGCACGUCCUCACUGAGGAGCAGCUUGCUGACAUUCUGACGAAGCCGUUGGCGCGUGAUCGUUUCUGUGAACUACGUGUGAAGCUGGGCGUCGGCAAGAUCAGCAAGGAGCUUCAGGAUUAGGGGGUGAAAUGUGGUCAAGCUAGUAAUCCUGAGUUCUCGCUCAUCUGUUAGUUGUUAGUUUCUAUCCUAGCUAUUCGUUGCAUCAGUUAGUUUUCUGUUAGCUAGAGUUUUGGGCUCGGCUUGGACUUCAUCCUCCCGAGCGCGUCAUGUGCAUCGUGUGCAUGUUGUGCGGCAUGAUCUGCAUGUGGGAUGGCACAUGCGCCUGGAUCAUGCCGGGCAUAACGGAGGGCACGAGUAGAGCUCAGCCACUCCUUCCUGAAUAAGCAUUGUACAAAUACGUUCCCAAUACAUACAGAAAAGCCGCAACGGUUUAGCGCAGCACAAAAACACUUCCCUGUGUUCAUCUCUGUCCAACAGAGCUCGCCGGAGAGAAUUCCGGCUAACACGGUCGUGCUCCACGGCGUCGCCUACUAGCGCAUGCACCGCGCGGCGUUCGGCGUGCGGCUGGACGGUGGCGCGGCGCCGGCGGGGACCAUGGACGUGUCACGUGUGCUGCGUGCCUUACAGGAUGUCACACUUCCUGCCAGAUUUCCGGCUGCAAGGCAUCGACGACAACAUGAGCAUGCUUAGGUUCUGGGAUUCGAAAUGCGAAAAAUUUUGGACCUGACCGAGAUAGGUGAAUCUCGGAAAUCUCGGAAAUUUCGUGUCGGGAUUCGGUUGUUUACAUGAAAUUUGGCUACAAUUAGAUGAAGAUUUAGGAAUUGAACACUCCUGUAUUAGAUAGUGGGAGAGAACUAGGGAGAUAUGAUGAUGAGCUAAGGAGGAAAACGGUGAAAACAUGUUGUUUCUGCGUUCGUUAGCCGUUACAAAGUGAGAGAAGUAAUUUAAAGAGAGUUAUAUAACUAAAAAUUUUCAUAUCUUUAUAGCUAGGAUGUUAUAUGGGUUGGUAUAGAUCUUAAUGAUGGUAGAGAAAAUCAACUUUAGUGAAAUUUUUUGACCAUGACCGAAAUGGGUCCGAAUCCCAGCACCCUGACUGAGCACGAUGGCUGAUCGAUGGGAGAGGCGAGGAGCCAUCCGCCUGCCCCAGUUCGAGGUUUAAGGGGCGACGGCCUUCAAGCUGCGAUGGUUCGGCGAGAAGAGCGGCACGCUGGUCUUCACCAUUGGAGAAGGGGGCAACACCAGUGGCGCGUUCGCGUUGAACCUCGCGACGAGGUCCGUCGAGAAGCUGGCCGACGGCGUCGAGUGCAACUCGUGGAGGAACUUGUGUGGAUACGAGAUGGACCGCGCCACGCUCCUUGGGUCGGUAGCCCGCUGCUUCUGAAACGUAUUAGCACGGUGGCUUCCGAUCCGGACGCUUAAAGUUCGGUAUUAGUGAGUAGUGCAAGUAACACUCAUAUGAUUGUUUUGUUUGCCACCAUCCAUGGCUGAACAGAACCCUCGAGCUCGCUGAACUGCAUCUGGCCGGUGGUGGCCACCCAGGGGUUGAGGUAGUAGCGGAUGAGCUCCAUCGCGAGUCGGGUUGAAGCGGUAGCACGGGGGCGUUCCGGCCGCCGCGCUUGCUCCAUCGUUCUCAGAAGCGUCCCGUGGUCAAGACGAGAUCAAGCGGCGGCCGGCAGGUCGGCGUGGCCACGGGCCUCCCGAUCGAGGGUCGCGCCGCCUUCAAUUUUGCCAAAAGUUCAGCGACACCGCCACGAUAUGACGCCACGCUCGGGUCGUGGCCGGCCAUGCAUGGGAGAAAUUAAACCGACGCGCCUAUUUAUACCCCAAUGCCCCACCAUUUGAGAUGUGUUAGAGCUUGGAGAAGUUAUAGGCUUGGUUCUCUCACUCACAAAAGUGCUCUAGCCAUCAAAGUGCUAAAGAGAAGAUUAAGACAAUUAGCAUAAGGCUUAGAUCUUGAUUAGUGCUAGUUUAGGCCUAUUAGCGUAUUGCUUUAGGAUUUAGCCUAGAGUUAGGCGAUGUUUGCACACCUCCUUUUGUAUCGGUGCUUACGCGUACCAAGAGUUGUAAAUCCGGAGCUUGUAAGUCUUGCGAGACUCUCCAACUGCGUUUGUAGAGUGGCCGCCGGUAGUUGUGAUAGGGAGGAGAGGCCCUAGACGUUUUGCCCAAGCUCUACCAAGUAAAGAGCAGCAAGGAACAUCCGGGAGAGGCUAGGCGGGGAUUCACUUGCGCGUGGGGAAGACCCGUCGGCUAUUCUACGGAGUUACUUGACCGGGGAGUUUAUGCCCUUGCGCGGGCAUUCCCUUCGAGAGGGGGCUCCAACAAUGAGGAUUAGUGGAAAGCUUUGCUUUCUGAUACUUCGGUAAAAAUCGCCGCGUCGCCACGCCGGGAGUUUGCUUUCUCUACCUUAUUUACCUUCCGCAUUUCUUAUUGCACUUAUAUUCCGCGUUUACCUUUCCUAGAAUUGCCAUGUGUAGUUUAUAGGAUUGGAACCUAGGGUGCAAAACUCUUUUACGGUAGAGAUAGCAACACAUAGAAAAACCUAAUGCACAUCUAGAUAGAAAUUGAAAUAUGUUUUUAUAUGUGCUUGUAGCCUUAGUUUUUAGAACACCCAAUUCACCAGUUUGUCAGAAUCCCUUCAAACUACGUGCUUUUUAUGCAUGAAGUAUGAGAAGUUGGGUCCGUCGUCAUGUAACAAGACUUGCAUGUUUGGAUUGUGUGGUGGUGUGGGUGAACUGAAAGCUGUUUGUGAUUUGCAAUGGUUAAUGUACUCUGUCAGUGAAUCGUUGUACUUGUCUUGUGAGCUCACUCUCGUUACUGCUGAAGUGCCUGUUCUUAUUUUCUCGGUGGAGAGCUCGUGCCAUGCCAUCAUGAAAUUGAAAGCAUCGGCAUCAUCUCGAGGUCGUCCCUGAUGAAAGCCUGGCCGCGCCGGGCGCCAAGCUGCGAGGCGGCAAGGCAACCUUCUCCUCGCGCGACGGUGGAUUUGGCUAGCCGAGCGCUCCGUCCAGCACGGACUUGCUGACGCUGAGCACCGCCGACUCCAUAGCUCUACUCCACUGCGUGUCCCUGUCAAGCUGAAGCUCCAAGCCUCCAGCUGAGUUGACUGCUCUGCCUUUUGGAUUGCCCUUUGAGCCCACGCAGGCCACCUCAGAUUCCCGGAUCAGCCAGGUGUACCGUUGGAUCAACUCUGUGCGGUCCAGAUUAAUCGGAGCAAAAUAAAAGGAGACAGAUACCAGAUCGUCCCGGUGGCUAUCGCGGCAGGCCGGCGGCGGUCGCUGUCGAGGGGACGGGGAGGAAGCGACGGCCGACGGAGAGGUACGCGGACGUGCUGGGCGCGUGGUGGAACUGGAACUGGAAAAGGAGCGGCGCAGAGGGAUUCCGGGGCCGCUCUCCGAAGGGGGGACGGCGCGAGGCGGUAGGGACCAAGGGUCUCGCAGUCGCUGUCGUGCAUACCUAAGGUGAGGCGCGCUCCUCCUUCCUUCGUACUACCUUCCUUGUCCUUGGGAUGGUUCGAUUCCCACAUUGCCCGUGGCUCAGUAUGACAGUAUCCCCCCAUUGUGUCAGCAAGGUUGGAGAUCAUGGGCAAGCAACUGAUUCCUGUGGAUUGAUUUGGGUGUACUGUAGUUGAUUUGCAGUUUCUGAUUAGCAAGCUACGCCAAAUUGUCUAUCCUCCGUAGUUAUUUAGGAUCCUGCCUGGUGCAUGCACUUUCCGAUUAUGUAGUAGUAUGAAUUGAAUUUCUCGCGUUAGGAAAUUGGGAACCAGUUAACCAAUGCCGAGUUAGUUUGGCCACCCUGUGACAGUUCAUCACUUUCGUGGGCUGGGAUCUGAAGGAAAUUCCUUUUUUUUAAGAACUUAUUAAUCACUUUGCACAAGUUAUUAACCCAUGGAAGUAUUUUGAUUUACUUGUGUUUUUUAUCCGCAUGUGGAAAGUGGACUGGUGUUAAGAAAAAGGGCAGUCGCUACUCGCUAGAGCGCUACAUCAUAGCAAAAUCUGAUUUUUCUUUGCCAACAUCAUUGAAUCAUAAUUUACACACGAUCUAUCAACAAUACUUUGUUGUUUCAAGGGCGAGCUUGAUUCCUUCUUUUUCUAAUCACAGUGUGAUUUUUAUACAUGCAUCCAUCUGCACAUCCGCAGUGUACCAUUGGAAAAAUGUUGCACCAAAACCGUGCUCCAAGGUACAGCUGGGAAAAAAAAAGAUGGAAGGGCAAAAAAAGAGAGGAAACAGGCUCGAAUCCCUGGAUAUCUUCAUCUUCAGGAGCUGCACACGGCGAAUUGUUGGUCCAUUCCACUUGUUGGCUGCACCAUCCUGCUGGGGUGGUGGCAAGGCAUCAGUAUGGAACUGAGGAGUGCCUUCUCAACAUCUUCGGAGGCUUCUCUCCUUAGCAAACACAUCACAUACUCCAUCACUGCUGUAUCGCAAGGCAGUGUGAUCCUCCCAUCACUUGUGAACCCAAACUCUUCCUGCGACAGCUUCAGGAGCUCCGAGAAGACUGUCGUGUGGAGGUAAGCGAGGGGGAUCUCAAACCGCUUCCCAUCAGAAGAGUAGACAAUGCAGUUGCCCUUCCCUGCAACUAUGCUGCUGCAAGAUGUGUUGAUCUCCUUGUCCACAGUUGUGACCCUUUUCCACCCGAUUGCACCCGUUCCCUGCCACUUCUUGGACAGUUGAGCUAGCUUCUUGGAACUGAUCAUGGUGGCUUCCUGCCUUUCAAGGAAAUGGAUUCUUGUCUUUGAGAUGAAAGGAUCAGAAAUGAUUUGAUUUGUGUGUGGUGAUGGUUCGCAUUUGUGAUCGUGUAUUUAUAGGGCACUUAUGUGGUAGGACUUGGGAGGGUCUGCAUCUUGGUCUUGGCUAUUACAAAUGGCAAGCUGGCAAGGGACAAGCCCACGAGCUUCCUUGGUGAGAUGUUCCUAUCUAUGGUUGGGAGGUUCAAUGCACAGGACCAUUGUUUAUCACAUGGUGGAGCCAUGUUUACUGGCUUGGUACGUGAUUGCUUCUGCCUACCAGAGUGGGCCUAAUUUUGACUCAAUGGUGCUAGGAGUAUAGAGUCUUUUAUUUAUACAUUAACAGGGUCCUUUUUCUAUACGCGCUCAUGCAGGGGCGAAGCUAUGUACAAUUAGCCUGGUGCACACUGCACAGGCAUGCCAAUUGUCUUACUUUGACCAUAUAUGCACCAGUUUUUAGUUAAAAAUAUUCACUAUACAGCAUAAUGCCACUUUGAUGGCCACCACCAUGAUUUUAGUUCUAGCUUCGCCACUGCACUGAUGUACUCUUUAUAUCUAUCAUCAAAUGCAAAUUCUAUUCAUAACAAACAGUAAAAAUUGGCAUGUCCAGUUUUUCUCAGUUUGUUUUCCUGAGAUAUUAAGCGUGAUAACUGACUUACUGUCCCUUCUUAUAUAGGUUCAAUUCACCCUAUCCUAUGUUGUUCAAUGAGAAUCACAUUAGAUGAGGUAUAUUUCUCUGCUCCUUACGGUAUUAUUUGCAGAAACAAUUUCAUUCUGCAUCUGCUGGAUUUUGUGGUCUCUUUUCCAGCAAUUGCCAUGUGAUGGAAACAAGAUAACAUGGUUGCGAAUCAGCCAAGGCAUUCUCUUGAAAGUUGUUUACAUCUAACAUAGAAAUUUGGCAGCCAGUAUUUUCCACCUAACUAUAUAAACUUUUGCACUAAGGUUCCUGCUUAGAUGGAGCAUAUAUUUUGCUAGUUCUCUUCCUAGAUGGCAUGAUGGUCUGUGGAUGAAGUUCGGAUCUGAGAAUGUUCAUUCUAGUGUUGAGUAAAUAUGUAUAGGUGACAAAAGAAAUAUCAUCCCGUGUUGUUUCAAUGAAAUAAAAUAAGCUUUUACAUUUAUUGAUGUGCCUAGUUGGUGAGCUGCAAGGCCAUGAACCUGUCAAUGCAAUGUUUGCUACAAUGAAGGCUGUGCGAUUAUGAAUCUGAUGUUGCUGGGCCAAAGUUUGGUGCACCGCAGUCCUUGCAAAGGCCAUUGUAGGGACUUUGUAGUUGAAUAAUUGGAGCUGUAUGCUGUACUAGUGGCUCUGCAUUUGAUAUAAGCACUCAGCAAUCAUUUUAGUCCCAGCUCUUGUGAACAUAGGGACAGAUUUAUAAAAGAUCAUUUUGAGAGCGACCAUCGAAAAGAUUAUCGAGGAUGCUUCAUGAGUCCUUCCUUAGUUGAUGAGAAGAGAGCCAUACAGUGGCCAAGAGACACAAGGGAAGCAUGUAGGGUCCUGAGUUUUAAGAAGUAGCCUCCUUUGUUAGUUGCCUAAGGAGAAUUGGAGAUGUCAAUAGGAUAAAUGCUUUUGCCAACAUUAAUUCUGUUAGGACGGUGCUGGUUGGUUGAAACAACUUGCCCGACAAUUCCUUAACAUCGGCAUUCUACGUUGUGGCCCAACUAGCCCCAGCAUCUCAUGUGCUCUCCAUUUCCUUGUUUCUUCCUGCCAUUCCUGGUAGACCCCUGCAAUAAGACCGAACUUAUCUGAAUACAGUUAUGGCCAUUUCUUUUUAAAAUUGCUGGUACUUUGACUAGUGUUGCACUGUUGCAUGGCAAAUUUUACGACCAUGUUUUUGCGUUGAAAUAAGCUUAUCCCAUGUGCAUAUCUGACGACACUCCAGGUGAUCAUUUCAGGUUCUCAACUCAUCCAUGCCCUUUUUGUGAUUUGAAGAAGGCAUAUUCUUUGUUUAGGGUCUUCAGGGGAUACUUGAUUACAUAUUUUACUUGUGUAAUGUAUACAUCUUUUGUCCAUCAUUUCAGGUGCUUUUUCAUAAGUCUCAAAGUGGAAUAAUAUGAUCUUGGGAUCAGGAUAGUCAGCUGCUCUGGAUCAUAUGUUAGAAAGGUCAGUACAGCACAGGGAACCUACCAACUUACAUGCACUGUAACCUGCAUACAAAUCUUCAUUAUAUGAUGACAACUAAGCCAUUAGUACAGUCCUAGUCGAAUACUACAUAUUGUUAUAUCCAUUAGGAUGUAGUAACUUGAGUCAUGAAUAAGGAGACUUCCUAGAACAUUGGUCAAUUCUGAUUUACGUUUAUUACAGAAAAUGUUAAUUAACAUCGUCUUUUUUUUGGUUCAGAUAACUAUAGUCAAGAAAAAAAAGGAGAUUCACUAGACCAUCGGUUAACUGGAGUCAGCCUUACACUUUCAUGUUUCGAUGGCGAGCUUGAUUCCUUCUUUUCUAAUCACAUUGUGAUUAUUUUUACAUUCAUCCAUCUGCGCAACCACAGUGUACCAUUGGAAAAACAACGCACAAAAACCGUGCUCCAAGGUACAGCUGGGGAAAAAGAUGGAAGGGGGAAAAAAGAGAGAAAACAAGCUCAAAGCCCUGGAUAUCCUCAUCUUCAGGAGCUGCAGACAGCAAAUUGCUGGUUCAAUCCACUGGAUGGCUGCACCAUUCUGCUUUGGUGGCGGCAAGGCAUUACUAUGGAACUGAGGAGUGCCUUCUCAACAUCUUCAGAGGCCUCUCUCCUCAGUAAACACAUCACAUACUCCAUCACUGCUGUAUCGCAAGGCAGUGUGAUUCUCCCAUCACUUGUGAACCCAAACUCUUCCUGUGACAGCUUCAGGAGCUCCGUGAAGACUGUUGUGCGGAGGUACGUGAGGGGGAUCUCAAACCGCUUCCCAUCAGAAGAGUAGACAAUGCAGUUGCCCUUCCCUGCAACUAUGCUGCUGCAAGAUGGGUUGAUCUCUUUGUCCACAGUUGUGACCCUCCUUCGCCCAAUUGCGCCCAUUCCCUGCCACUUCUUGGACAGCUGAGCUAGCUUCUUGGAGCUGAUCAUGGUAGCUACCUUCCUUUGGCUUUCAAGCAAAUGGACUCUUGUCUUUGAGAUGAAAUAGUUAGAAACAAUUCAAUCAGUGUGUGGUGAUGGUUUUUGCAGCUAUCAUGUAUUUAUAGGGAACAUAUGUGGUAGGACUUGGGAAGAUUUGCAUCUUGGUCUUGGCUUAUCAUAGACGGCAAGCUGGCAAGGGACAAGGCCAUGAGUUUCCUUGGUGAGAUGUUCCUAUCUAUGGUUGGGAGAUUCAAUGCACAGGACAGGUCCAUUGUUUCUCACAUGGUGGAGCCAUCUUUACUGGCUUGGUAUGUGAUUGCAGCCAGAGUGGGGCUAAGUUUGACACAAUAGUACAAAUUGCUGGGUUCAGUUCUUUUAUCUUGCUUGAUCUCAAGUGGGCACUGGCUUACUCCCUUGUUAUAUAUGUGCAGUUUGCUUGAUGUUGUAGUUUCCGAUGAUAACGUCUUUAAACAAGGUACAUCAAUCCGCCCUUAUGAUUUUAUUUGCCAAAUUAUUUCAAUUUUGCUUUUGCCGAUUUUUCUCGUCUCUUGUCCUGCAAGCGCAAUGUGAUAGAUACUAACAUAGUUAAGAAUCAGCCAAGGCAUCUUGUAAAAAGAUGUUUUUUUAAUGUAGAGAUCUGCCGAUCAGUAUUUCUACCUAGCUAUAUAAUCUUCUUGCAUAGUGCUCAUGGUCAGAACAGAACAUUUCUUCUUUUGCUAAUUUGCUGCCUAGACGGUCUGUUUAAGAACGCUGGUCUGUGGAUGAACUUGGGAACCGAUGAUAUUCAUUAUGGUGAUGAAUAUAUGUAUAGGUGACAAAAAUGGUCCAUGUGCUUUCAAUAAAAUAAAAUAAUAGGGUCCAUGGCUUUUGCAUAGUAGUUAUUGAUGUCACUAGUUUGGCAAGCAGCAUGGCCAUGAAUCUGUUAAUGCAAUGUCUUCUACAAUAAAGGCAGUGCACCGAUGUUGCUGGGCCAAAUUUUGGUGCACCGCCGUCCUUGCAGCGGCCAUGGUAGGGACUUGGUAGUAGGAUGAUUGGAUCUAUAUUGUGACUAGUGGUUUGACGUUGGACAUAAGAACUAGACAAUCAUCUUAGUCCCAGCUCUUGUAAACAUAAAAACAUAUUUAUAAGGGAAUCAGUUGGAGAGCGACCAUCAGAAAGAUUAUCCAGGAUGCUUCGUGUGCCUUUGUUUAUCUGAUGGCGAGAGCUGUACAGUGGCCAAGAGACAUGAGGGAAGCAUGUAGGGUCCUGAGUUUUGACAAGUAGCUUCCUUUUUUAGCUGUGAAAGGAGAACUGGAUAUGUCGAUAGGCUACAUCCUUUUUCUAACAUUAAUUUUGGUUGGGACGGUGCUGGUUGGUCGAAACAACUUCCAUUGACAAUUUCUUAUCGUUAUUGUGCACUGUGGUCCAACCGAUUUGUCCCCAGCAUCUCUAGUGUCCUGUUUACCUCUUUUUUUCUGUCAUUCCUGGUAGGUCUCUACAUCAAAGGCUGCAUCUAUGAGCUAUCUCACUAUCUGAACCCCAUUUGGCAAUUUCUAUUAGAAAUAUUGUUGUACUGUGACCAAUGUUCUGUAUGGAGAACCUUAGAGCCAUACUCUUGGCGUUGAAAUAAGAUCGUCUCAUCUGCAUAUCUGACUCCACUCAUCCUGGCAUUCUGCAGAGUGGGGUCUUUCAUGCUCCCUAUUCAUCCAUGCCCUUUUCUGAAGAGACAUACUGAUGUCGCUGUGGUCAGUUUAAUUCCUUUUGUAGGUGACUUAUCAUAUCGUGUAUCAGACCUUAUGCACCUUUGCAUCAGAUCUGUUACAAAUCCAACGUGCAUCAGAGCUUUUUAGGUGCGCUGGGCGUGGCAUAGCUGCCUCCAACAGUCGUUAAUCGACUUUUCGGUUGUUUACGUUUUCGUGUAAUUCUCAUUUGUAGCAAGCCAUGUGCGUGUGUUCGGUUGGCCCGCGUUAUAAGUUAAACUUUUCUUUUUAAUACAAAGAUACGCAGCUCUCCUACGUAUUCAUGGAAAAAAAUACAAAUCCAACGUGCAAAGUUUUUGUGUUAAAAAAAAGAGGCAUAUUCUGUGUUAGUUUCAGGAGAUGCUUGAUAGCAAACUUUAACCUUUGGUCCAACAUUUCAGGUGUUUUUUUUCUCAAAGUCAGAAGUGGAAUUGCAUGAUCUGGGGAUCAAGAUGCUCAGUUGUACUGGGCACACGCUAGAAUGGUCACCACAGAACACAGGACACCUACCAACUGCAUGGUAACUUGCCUACAAAUAUUAUUUUUGAUACGGUUGAUUUAAAAAAAACGUCUUCACAUAAAGUGUGCAGCAAACAAUAAUUUCUUUCUGACAUAAUUUCCCGUUUCGACGAAACAUUGAAAAUUACCUGUUUGCAACAUGAAAAAAUUAUCUGUAGAAAUGACCAUAUGGUUCGACUCUGAGAUAGAAAAUUCCUGCCGUAACAUGAACACUAUGUUUCAUGCAACAUCAAUGUGAAACAUGCAAAAAUAAUAGUUGUAACAUCGAUGCUUAACUAUUGCAACGUAUGUCGGAGUAUCCUAUAUUUUUAAGAUUCCGAUAUUUCCUGACGUUGAAUUUCUUUUCUUUUGAAGGAAAUGUUAAAUCUGUAUUCCAUUGGAUGUCGUUGCUAUGAGUAGUGAAUAUAUACUAUGGGCCAGGCCAAAAAAGCAAUGCCUCCCCUGCCUGCUUCGUGGCCGGUCCAGCAGCUGUUUUGCCCCGGGCUGUAGAAGGGCUGGGCCAACAAGGCCACAAGUAAUCGAGGCCCAGUCCGUCAGGUUGAUCUGUGGUCGUCAAGCAGAUGAUGCUCUGCAGCAGCUGCAAGCAGUGAAGUCACAUAACAGUGUAGAGUACCAGAACAGUCGAAGCAGUUGUACUAAAUCGUGCCAAACUCUAGCUUUAACAGCAACUACCGGCUUGUUCUAUUAUCAUUGUUUUUAUUUACAAGAGUGAUACACACUGGCUGUUCUGAGUUGCGUGUAAAUGCUAUAAGAAGACAAUAGUGUGGUUCUUUUUCUAUUUUUAUAUCGUGUCUUGCUUUAAAUUAACCAUAUUUGCAUGGAAAAGCUAGUCACUAUUCUUACUCGUUUGAUUAAUGGAUCCAACCACCCGCCUUACAUAUUUUUCCUGCAAUGUAUAAUUCUUGGUGAGAAUCAUCAACUUUAUAAUGUUUUAAAAACAGCUCACGCUUUUUUAAUGAUCUUUUUUAUAGUUAUGCGGGCGAUGAUAGGUGGAUUUGGGAAUUGGUUUGUUCCGAUUCUAAUACGUGCACCUGACAUGGCAUUUCCACGAUUAAAUAAUGACAUGGUAUUUCCACAAUUAAAUAAUAUAUCAUUCUGGUUGUUGCCAUGUUCUACCCUUUUUAUGGAAACCCUCUUCAAACUCUACAUGUACCUUGUACCUUGCUUCUCGCUUAUGUUCUCUACUAUAUAUGCUACUGUUGGCAAGUCUUGGUAUCAAUGUCAUACCUGCAUCUUUCCCUUUACAUUUUUCGUCUCCUUACAUUUUUGCUGCAUCUCAAAUUACAAGGCUAAGGAAAAAAAAAUUACAUUUCCUAGAGGAGACAUAAUGAAGGGGGGAUCCACUGUUUUUGUUUUGCAUGCAAAAUGCCGGCUGAAAUGUGUUAAAUUCACAGGUUCGUUGGAUAAAUUAUUCAUUUUGGAUGGUACGUAUGAUGAUAUUUCCAGACGUAAAAAAAAGUGUACGUUGGCCUUAAAAAAGAUCGUGUAAAGUUCGUGCCGAGUAUAACAGGAGUGAUUUGCACAUUCAAAUAUAUGUGUCCCUUCAAAAAGCAAAGUAGUUGAUAUAAUGCUAUAUGCUAUUAUUAAAUCCAAUGAUUUCUCGAUCCUCGUCUAGAGUCGUAUGAUCAUGACCUAAGUUCUCCCUCCUUAGACCUCCUUCUUCUUUAUAGCUCCUACUCUCUUUUUCGAUUUGAGGGCACCCGCUCUCCCAUCUCCACUCCUCCCGACACUCAGUGUCUUUGUUGCCAACUCAGCCAUUGCCGCCUUCGCCAUGCUAACCCCUCCAAAAGCUUUACCCCCCACCCCCCUCCCAAAAAAUGGUGUCCGUUGCUACAUUCACAUUGAACGAUCAGAGGUAAGAAACGUUUAAGUUCCCACCAAACGUAACGGUCCAAAUGUACACAUCGAAACACGUGUCACUUGAAAAGAAAAGGCAAUUGCUAUAUGCCAUCAAGUCCAACGGUUUCUUGAUCUACGUCUAGAAUCACAAGAGCGGGAUCCAACGACGCACACACUUUCUUCCCCCUCCGUCUCCCUCCUCCUUCUUCUUCCUCACCGCUUCCCCUCUCUUUUCAAUUUGAGCAUGCCCGCUCUCCCGCCUCUCGCCAUACUCCGGCAGUAGUCCCGGUAGCGUCAUUGUUUCCUGCUUAGCCAUUGCCGUCUCCUCCGCACGCUAACCCCUCCCAAAGCUUCAUCGCAAUAACACAAAUUGGAUCCAUUGAUCUGUUCCAAUUCCUUGAAAAACUUGUCGCGUGAAUGGAACAUACCGAGUGGUUCAUAUCGCAUACAAUUCAUUAUCAUGAAGCAUCUGCGCCUCCAACGGCCGUUUGCUUUGGGUGUUGGUGCAUUAAACCCCGGCCCGCCGAAACCGAAACGCCCGGGCAAGUGGCCCGCCAGCGCGCCAGGGGCACGCGAUCCUCCCGCCCGGCGGCCACCAGCUGUCACGCGGCCUGGCGGAGGAGCGCGGCCGCUACCUACCCCCGUCGUCGCGCGGCGUGUGACCGGCGCGGUGACGAGGCAGUCGAUGGGGGCAAAGCGGGAGCGCCCGGCGCGGGUCCUCCGUGUCGUGGCGUGCCCUGCCGUGGCCGCGCCCGCAAGAUCCAAGCCGAAAGCGAGGGGAAACUGCCGCCGCUCACGCCGUCCCCCGCGACGCCGCCCACUCCCUCUCGUCCUUAAGAGCGAGGGGACCCCCCUCGCGGCGUUCGUCAUCAGCUCUCUCCGAGGAACCUCGCCGCCCCCGCUCUCCGCUCCUCUCGGCGACGCCGCGCGCUCUGCACGCCGGUGGCCGCUCAACGCCGAUGGGGUGCGGCCAGUCGAAGGUGCCUCGCGGCGAGGGCGCUUCGGCGGCCGUCGCACACUGCCGCGACCGCUCCGAGCUGCUGGCCGCGGCCAUCGCCAGCCGCUACGCGCUCGCGGACGCCAACCGCGCGUACGCGGGCUCGCUCAGCGCCACCGGCGCCGCGCUGCACGACUUCCUCCGGGCCGUCCUGGACGCCACCCCGCCGCCUCCCGGGCCCGGUGCCGGCGACGCGCCGCGGGAGGGGGACGAUGACGACGCGGCCCCUCACGCCGCGACGGCGUCGCCUGACGCCUCAGAGGACGACGACGACGGCGGCGGCGGCGGCCACAUAUGUUUCCCCUCGCCCUCGGAUGAAGCCUCCGACGAUGAUGGCGGCGGGGAUACCAUGUCCACGUCCGAUGAUGAGGCCGAGCCGCCUCUCCCCAGGCCCGACGCCCUCCAGCCGGUGGCGCCGGCGCCACGGCCAUCCCGAGCUCCGCCCCAGCCGCUGCAGUUGGUCCCACAGUACGAUCCUGGCUAUCCCCCACAGUUCGGUUCUCUCUACCCCCCGCCGUACAGCUAUGGCCCCGUCCCCGGCCCCGCGUUUGGAUACGGUGGGGGCUACGGCGCCGACGUCAUGGGCGGCUACGGGCAGAGUUCCUAUACGUACAACAUCAGCUACACCCAGAGGCAGCCACCGCCGCUGUCAUCAACAUCCUUCGAGCAGCCGCCCCAAGCCACAGAUGCCACCGUCAGUUACUACACCUACCAGUACCAUGGCGAGGCCGUCCCGAGCUCUCACUACGGCGGAUCAUACUACUACCCCUACCCAUACCCGCAAGGCGGUGGCUUGCCUCCGGUGCCAGCAGCCUCCUCUGGCCACUUGGCCGCGCCACUGCCAUCGCCGUCGCCGCCGCGGGUGCCGAGCUGGGGCUUCCUGGAUCCUUUCGAGGCACUCGAGAGCUACUACCAGGAGCACCCGGUUCCCCCGGCGGCCCGUGCUGCGUCUAGCCGGAGCUUGGGUGACGUCGGGGAGGAGGAUGAGGGCAUUCCCGACCUAGAGGACGAGGAGUCGGGAGUGGUCGUCAGGGACGCUCACGCCGGGGAUGAGUGCACCCGCGUGAACGCGAAGUUUGAGGAGGUGCACAGGAAGUCCGAGUCGUCGGAUGGCAGUGGAAGCAGCGAGGAGGAGACAGAGGGGCACGUCGAGUUCAGAAGCAGCACGAUGGAUGGAGUAGAGGAGAGUGUGGUGGUGGAGGUGGAAGAACAGCUGAAUGAUGAUUCAGGCGUCGCUGAUGAGCCUCCUGCUGUGCCUGAGAUUAAGACCUACACCAGCGACGUCGAGGUGGCGCAGGAGAUCAAGUUGCAGUUUGACACCGCCUCCAAGUCAGCUGGUGACGUUAGCAAGAUGCUUGAGGUUGACAAGGUGCCUUACUACAAGAAGAAGAACUCGGGACUAAAAGGCUCGUGCAUUACUCGAUUUGCUGUCUAAAUAUUCAGUCUUUUGCUUCUUUAGUUGUUCACUUAUUUGUUGGUGACUAAGAUGGAGACUUUUAUCUAACACACUUGCUUUUGCAGUGCCCUCAAUGGUGAUUUGCGGACAGCCUUCCAAGGCCAAGGCGAUCAUGCAGUAUGAGGAGGAAAAGGCUAUGGAAUCUGGCAACCUUUCAUCUUCACUGCAGAAGCUGUACAUAUGGGAAAACAAGCUUCUUAAGGAAGUCAAGGUUCUCAUUUCUCAAAUCUCAACACACUUAAUAUUUUGAAUUUCUAGCUUUGCCUUUAAAUAUGUGGUGGUUGCAAUUUCUAGCUUUGCUAUGAAGAGACUCACUAUUUGCUAUUUAACUCUACUAGUUGCUUAAUAUUGUAAAAGAUGAUUUAGUUGGAAGUUUUGAGUACUAUAUUUGGAUAAUGAACGGAUUUCAACUACUUCUGCUUGCUGCAUAUGAUCCGUUAUCCUUUCAUUGAAUACUUCUUAGAUAGUAACGUACUAUUUUUACGAGUAAUGUACUAUUCUUGGAUAAUGAGUGUGAGUCUUUAACCACUUAUACUUACCGAUUCGAACAUGUUCUUUUAUUCAUUAAUUGAAUACUUGUUGGGUAGUAAUGUAUUAUGUUUUGAGUAACGCACUAUAUUGUGGAUGAUGAGCGGCUUUCAGCUACUUCUGCUUGCUGCAUAUGCUCCUUAUUUUUCCGAUGAAUAUUUGUUGCGUAGUAAUGUGCUAUCUUUACAAGUAAUGUACUAUUCUUGGAUUGAGCGUGAGUCUUAUGAUCUACUUAUACUUGCCUAUUGAACAUCUUAUUUUCUUCGUUAAAUGUAUACUUGUUGGGUAGUAAUGCAUUAUGUUUUUUAUUAAUGUAAAUGAACUUAAAUGACAAAUAUUUAUGCAUGCUGAGUAUGCUCCAAGGCAUCUAACUAUAGAAAGUUUACACGGUGGAGAAUUCCAAUCUAGCACUUUAUAUUAUUUGGAGUUUCAUACUAUUUAUUCUAGUUAUUAUUCAUUUUCUUCUUCUGAUGUGUUAGUUGAAGUCAGGUAUUUUUGUUUUAUAUGCUGUUUACCACAGGCUAUGGAGAAGAUAAGGGGGCUUUAUGACCAGAAGCGUAAAGAGCAGAAAAGAUUGUACUAUAGCGGUGCUGAAUCUCAUAAGCUUGAGGCAAUGGAGAUUUGUGUCAAGAAGCUGUCCACAAAGCUGACCAUUGCCAUCCAGAUAGUAAACAGUAUAUCAAAAAAUAUCAACAAGCUUAGAGAUGAAGAGCUAUGGCCUCAAACACAUGAGAUAAUCAAAGGGUAUGUAAUUAACAUGACUCUCUUUAUAUUAUAUUAGCACCUACUUCACUAUCUAGAUGCUAAUUUGAUACUUAACAUAUAUAGAAAUAUUAUUCCUGACUGGAAACUAUAUAUGUUUCAGGUUUAUGCAAAUGUGGCACACCAUGUCAGAGUGCCAUGAGAUGCAGUGCCAUGUUCUAUCCCAUGCUAAGAAUAUAGACUCUACUAUGGCAGCUGCAAGAAUCAAUGAAGAUCAUACAGAUUUAAUCAAGUAUCUGGAGGUUCAGUUGCUGGGCAUGACUGCCAAUUUUACCGGAUGGUUCGAUGCCCAGAAGAGCUACGCCAUCCUUUUGAAUGAAUGGCUUAAGAAGGGGAUUGAGUAUGAGCCAGAAGUAACUGAUGACGGGGUUCCUCCCUUUUCACCCGGACGGUUAGGAGCACCCCCUAUUUUCACCGUAUACAAUAACUGGGCAACCAGCAUGGCGAGGAUAUCCGAGGCUGAAGUGGUAGGCGCAGUGCAGGCUUUGGCCUCCAAUGUUCUGGGCCUCUGGGAGAAGAAGAUAGCAGGCGUAUCUUCAUCUGCACAGGCUGCUGAAGCUGGCCUGCAAUCGUGCAUGGCUAGAGUUUUUGAAGCAAUGGAGAGCUUCGCUGCUGCCUGUGAGAACACCUACAAGGAUAUUUGCCUUCGCGCUGAAGAAGAGAAUGGCAGACCUCCAGUUGCAGACAUCGCUGGUACAAGGCAACUAGGCUGAAAGCAUAUAUAGGCAGGGAAUGCACAUAUAGCGGUGAAGUAUGUGCAGGUUUAUUAGAGGCUAGAGCUCGAGGUAUCUUGGGGCUAGGGCUGUAGGUUGAGACAAAACCAGGUCCUGACGCUGCUGCAAACUUGUAGAUUGUCGGGUCAUCUCCAAAGCAUCUGCCUGCUUUUUUGUCUGCUGUCUCUUCAUUUUUGGAGUACAUGCGAUUGGUUGGUGCUGGUGACUGUAAUUCCGGCGACUGGCGCGUGCACAAUGAGGCAGCCGGAGAGAAGUGCAAUGGGGUGGAGCUUUGCUAGGCGCCUCUUCCUGAUAGAACUCGGAGAGGCUUGUCGACGUGCGUGCAUCAUCUCCGGGUGCAAGGUCUCUGAAUUCUGAUGGCAACGUGCUGGUGUAAUCAGCGAGGAGCUCGCGGUCGGUCCGGCGAGAUCACGCGUGGCAGCCGAAGAAGAUAGCCCUGGCACGCACCGAAGAAGAGAGCGGGGAGUUUCAGCCACAGGGCGAGAGCUCCACUGAAGUUGAUACUGCCGUCGAGGAUCACCGUGCCACCGCCCUUCACCGAGCGUCUGGCCGGCGGCCGUGGAAGCUCCGGACGCCUUCCGUAGGAUGAACGGAAGGGGCUCGGAGUGUGGCCUGAUGGGGAACAGCCUAGCUAGCCGGACGGUGUGGUCCAGGGAGCGAAUUUCAUCCAUUAGAGCCUUUUUCUGCAGCUUAUUACCUAGGGAGAUUGUUGUCCAGUUUGCGGCCCAUAAUAUUUUCUUAUUUUCCCCUCUCAUUUUCCUGUUGUUCUCUGUGUAGAAUAAUUUGUUCAUACCUAUUCACUUUUAGGACUAUUUUAUUCACAUAGUUAAAUUAACUGUGCAUCUUGUUUAGCAUUUUAUUCGCAUAAAACAACUAUUUUGCUCAUGUUGUUCAAGAAUUAUUAGCAUUGGCAAAAAUAUUCCGACUAUAUGAAAAAUGUUCGUGAAAAGUAUCAUCCAAACAUAGUCAGGUAUGUUCCGCCGCCCGACGGCAUGGGCCACGGAAGAACAAGCAGCGCGGCGCCGUGGACGGAGGAGAAGAGGCGCAAGACCGUCGACCCGCCAUCUCCUCCCGGCCCCGCCUCCUCCUCAUCCUCCGGCGACGCAACGGAGGUGAUGCCGAUGGACAUCGUCAUCGGACCUCAUCAGGUCCAGGAGGAUCAAGGCGCCGGACAAGAACCAAAUGAGUCGUCCGUUUUCUCAGCGGAAGACGACAUCGACGGCGAGGAGGUAUCUCGUUGCUACGAGCAGCUCCGAAAGCGCGAGGGCUUCCUCUUUAUCAUGCGUAGUAGCAUCGGGCGUCGCAUGGGGGAGAAAGACAGCGAUGAGACGUACAAACGCCUCUGCGAGCUUCGCGACAGAGACUACAAGGACCGUUAUGUCACUAUACCAUAUCAUUACACCUUAAGCCGAUCCCAUGUAUUAUUUAUGAUGAUCCAUAUGCCCUUGCAUGCAGAUCCUGAAGGGGGAUGAUGGUCUCAGCAACCCGGCCGGCCUCUGACGCUUUCGAAGCACAACUGUUAAGUAUGGACCCUGCUGAGGAUUGCCCGUGGGAUAACACCUUUGAGCCGGGUCCUAGCAUCUUUGGUUGGACCUACAACUCCGACGCCAUUGAUUUUCAUGGCUUGGAUGACUUGACUACCAGCGCAUGAUACCUACCAGAGUUGUGCGUACUUAAGUUCUUUAGCUUUUGCUUUAGCAGCAUUUUAUUUCUAGGUUUAAUGGGUAUCCAAUGUAAACUGUUGCUGCUACCGCAUGACCAUUGCUAAAAUCUACCCUUCUGUUUGGUAGUUCGGACUCUUGAUACUAUAUGUGCUAGUUUAGUUACGCUCCUAUUUGGUUCUGAAGUUUGUGCUGACCCCAAAUUUUAGGGCCACGGCAGUGUAGUGCACAAUGCUAUCAUGGUAGUCCGUAUCUGAAGAGUGGACAUAGGAUAUCAUAACGUCAGCAAACAUGACAAAACUCAAGAGAGGUGGCACUUCCAUAGUCAUUAAGUCCACAUGUAUGUGCAUGAGCUAUAUACUUCUGUUCCUGUAUUUGAAGCCUGUUAUGUUUUUGGCAAACAGAAUGGGCGGUGGGCACACUUUUUUACCGUGUUAUUAUUGUUCUUGAUUUGUUUUAAAAUUGUUGUAGCUGAAUUUGUUUUGCCAAUAUAUUUGUGCUCGAUCCGUUCUUUAUGCCUUUUAUCCGGUCUUUUACGUAAAUAUGAACCUUAAUUGAGUCUCUUAAUUGAGUCUAUUAUAGUACUUUUCAAAUGCUAGCGCUUCUAUAUUUUUUAAAAGCCUAAUUGCACUUAAAUUAGAAUAUGAGUUACUCAAGAACCAAGUUACAUAAAAAGAUUGAUCGUCCACUUUUGCCUAUGUACUUCAAAUGCAUGAUUCUAGUAUUGUUACUUGACUAAUGUAUUAAUUGCUUCUCUCCUUUGGGUAGCAGGAUUUUGAUGAGUACCAUCAUUGGGAUGAUUACCGCUCAACUCUUAGCGAUUACAAAACUGAUCAGGAGUAUGUCAAGUAUUGUGAUGAAAUAUCAAAGAAAAUCAAGGUAUGCAUCAUGUCUCUGUCUGGCUAUUGAAAAGAGCUCAUAAGUUAGUGCUGUAGAUUGAUUUGACUGACGGACACAUUUUUCACCGUUGGCUAGUGGGUUGAAGAGUAUAUGCGUCAGAACAAUACAGAGGUAAGCCUGAACUAUAAAACAAUGUAAUUGAGAUAUGUGCUUUGUUUAGCACCAUGAUAACUCCUUUGCUCUUUAGUUUAAAGAGAAGUUUGAGCAAAGAAGCCGUAAGCAAGCUUUGAAGAUCGCAAAAGGCUUCCCCUAUUUGACAUUUACUUUAGCUCAUUGUGGCUUUGAUGUAAGAUCCCUUUGUUUAGACGGCAACACUUCUCGUUGAUAUACAUUUGACAAUUUCAUUCUCUUGACAUAGGAGUAUUUACUGGACCUAGCCUACGAACUUGAUACAAAGGAUUAUGUUCUUGUUUAUUUUGAGGUUUGGGAGCGAUCGAGUCUCUUGUAAGUAGGUUGACAGGAAGUCUAUGGAAUAUAUGAAUCGCUAAUCAUGUUUUGCCUAUGCUUAAUUUUUUAUCAUGGCUCGGGAGCGAGUCUCCUGUAAUCUUUUUGCCUAUGCUUAGUUUUUUAUGUUCACUUGCAUUGUCUGAGUAGAUGAGUUUCGAAGAUGCUUUGAGGUCAGCCCUUCCGGCGUUUGAUUAUUCACACCCCUCGUUAUGCGUAGCAACUCCUGAUCUUGAAAGGAUAUUGUGAGUACGACACAAGCUUGUACCGUAUCAAGAAUAACGUAGAUAAAUCUCGUAAAAAACCCUAGAUGGCGUUGAGGCAACCACGACAAGAGAAUAGGAUUUUAGCAAAACCGACCCCAAAUUCUUUAAGUACAACUUCAAAAGAGUACGAGUAAUUGUCACUCCCUCACAAACCCUACUUGACCCUCUAGGAUCCUUUGAUUCUUACCCUAUACAAGAAUCUAGUGCUAUAUAACUGUCUAGCAUAUCCCUCUUGAGGGCUCCUAAUUGCCUCUCACAAGCUUUGAAACCUAGAGGCUCCACCCCUUUGUUUAUAUAGUCCCCUCCAAGGCUCUCAUACAUGCAAGUAGAAGUCUUGCACCUAGUAGGAUUCCAUACUUAAAUCCUAAUAGAAAUAGAAGUCGUAAUAGCACACCUCUAUUAAAUUUUAAUCUAAGUAGGAAUUGAGUCACCGUACAACAAUGGUAUUGCCAUCGUCUUCUAUCUUUUAACCUUGACAUGUGGUGUAUUGGUUGUCAUAAGAGCUCGUGGAUUUGUUUUGUGAUGAAUUGCUCUUUUGGCAACUGACUUUCACGAUUGUAUCUCAGUUUGCUCACAACUGAGUGAGGUUCUAAAAUCAAUUCAGAUUUCCAGCAGCAGGAAUUGCGCGCAGCAAGGAACGCCUUUACAAUACUGGCUGCUGUUUAUCUCUUUCAGCACGCCGGCAUGGAAAUGCAAUUGAUCAUCACAUUGCAUGAUCUGUAAGAUUGUCGUUGCAUUGUUCAGAUGAUCUGUAAGGCUUGUUGCAUCAGUUUAAUGCAGUUUGACACGUACCCCGGGAUAUGAUCCUCUCACAUAAAGUCAUAAUGCAGGGGAUUCGGACAGGCAGACACACUAACCUCUCAUGAUUAGGGCUGGUCACCGGAUCAGGCCAGCACAAGAGUACAGGGCUGACCGUAUCUCCCUUCCUUGUUUAGACCCUGCAGAGGAUCCCAAGGAUGUCUUGCUCCAUUUAACAAUCCAAGCAUGUCCAUCUGUCCAUCUGAAACCCUGAAACAUCCCGGCAUAAACUACUUCGAAUCACAGGCCUGUACGGGCCCCGAUCAUACGGGUAUAAUCCCGUACGCGAUCCCCAAUGAUUCGUGCCUGUGCGUGCGCAACACCGCGGCAGCUUCGCCGUCGCCGGCCAUAGAGACGCCACGUACCCUGUGCCUUACGUUCAUGCACGCGCCCAACCACUUCUUCAGCUGAUGCGAAGUUCGCAACCGCGGCGCACGCUCGGGCGACGCUUCCUAGUACGUGCCUCCGCCGUGCGUCUUGGCUGCCGCGGCCGCCGGUGGCAUGCCAGCCAGGCCGUGCCGGCCGGCCGGCCGCCACCGACAUGACAGCGCACGGGACGGAGCACCUGCCGUGUCCAUGGUAUAUAUGCGCUCGCACGGCAAGUCCGGCGAGGGAUUGAGCAGCUCGACAAGUGUACUGCGAAUCCAUCACGAACGUACGGACUACGUACGCCACCAGUGAAGUGAUCGGUCAUGGAAAUGGAGUACUGCGCGGCGGCGGAGCAGCAGCUGAGCAGGCUGAGGCAGCACGUCCUCGUCGCGUUGGGCUCCUCGCCGGCGGCGAUGGCAGGCGCCCUGGAGGGCGUGGCGCGAGUGUACGAGCACGCGGAGCCGCUGGCGCGGUCCGCGCGCGCCGACGUGCUGGACGGCGAGCUGGAGGCCUCCGUGGCGCUGCUCGACGCGUGCGCCGCGGCGCGGGACGCGCUCGGCGCCAUCCGCGCGUGCGCGCUCGACGCCGAGGCAGCCGUGCGGCACCGCGACGGCGCGGCAGCCGACCGCGCGGCCCGUACGUACGCGCGCCUGGUGGAGCGGGCGCGCGCGGACGCCAGGAGGCAACGCCGCCGCGCCGGCUUGAGGUCCGACCACCAGGUGGCGGACGGCGGCGGCGUGCACGCGCUGCAGGAGGCGAGGCGGCUCACCGUGGCUGUGCUGGAACGCGUCGUGGCGGCGCUGUCGCGGCGCGUGGCCGCCGCCGCUGGUACCCCUCGGCCGGCGAGCAGUUGGUCCACGCGUGUGGCGAGGGCGUUCCGGAAGAGCGCCCGGGUGGCGUGCGAGGACGCCGCCGACGAGGCCACUGUGUCCUUGCCGGCGCUGCCGUCCAAGGACUCGCACGAUGGCGAGGCGGCAGUGCGGGUGCAGCGGGAGCUGAGGGCACUGGGCGACACGAUUCAGCAGCUGGAGGACGGCCUGGAGCUGCUGUUCAGGCGGCUGGUGCAGUGCAGGGUGUUCUUGCUCAACGUGCGCAGCUGUUAGAUUCACCAGAGCUUAAAAUGUAGAUCGAGUAGCCGUGCUUGUAGAUCAGAUAGCACAGAUAGAUGAUCUGCGUGUAAAAGUUUUGACACUUGGUGCUCCAUGCUAAUGGAAAGUUUGAGUCAUCAGUCAUGAUUCAUGAAUCUCUGACGCAUCACAACCAAAUAAUUGUUAAAGAAAAUAUCAAAACUCAGAUCUGUACAGGCGGCCACUGGAUAGAUUUUCGAUUCUCUUCGAAAGAAUUCGUGUCACUUUCUUGUCUUUUUAUUGUAUUCAAAUAUCACAUAUGUGCUUUUUUGUAAUUUUUCACACUUGAUAGGGUGUGAAAGACUUCGCACUUCAACCGAAACAAAUGCUAAUAGAGAAGAAUCACACAAGUUAUACAAUGCAAAAGUCACCAUGCAAAAGUACUGUAAAGUUGUACAAUGAUAUGCAAAAAUUUGUCAUAUUGUGCAUCAAUAAGACAUGAAUUAAAAAGGGUGAAAAUAUCUUUAACAGACGUGAGGCAUUCUACCGAGAUUUUUUUCCAGUUGUUUACUUGGUUACUGUAAUAUGCUUACCCUUGGUGUCACUGCAGCCAUGGAGAUUUCCAGGGAAAAUUUCCAUCACUUACUGUACAAACUAACUAAUCACCAAGGAUUCAAGUUCAUGCACGUAAUUUCACGGCUACUAAUUUUGAUGCUGCCUGCUGAACGACGAGCAAGAAACCGUCCAUCCACACAUGCUGAAUGGAUUGAGUUCAGGCGGCGCUUGGACCAGACAUUCCUGGAACAUGCCCUUUACCAAAUGAGUACGAAAGGCAGAUCCUGCUUCGGAUUGCCCAAACAUGCCUCUCAACACUGAUGAACCUUCCAUGAACCUCUUCUGUUCCUGUUCCUUUCAGACUCCAGGCCGUACUCUGAACCCAAACAGCACAUCAAUCCCUCGAGCGUGCACUGUACUCUGCUGGCAAUGCAUCCAACAUGACAGCCCAGCCAUGUUAGUCAGCGAUACGUGGUGAGGUAGACAACAGGUGAAGGGCAUCUACUUGUCUGUGACCUGCAAUCAGGGGCAGUGGGGUGGUGGUCAUGGAGGUUCCUGCUGUCCUUCCAUUGUACCCACACCAUCUUCUCAACCUCCUGAUUAUAAGUAGGCGGCUGCGACUAUCGACACAACAAUCAGUUCAUCCUUUGCUCCCUUUGCCUAUCUCAUCUCCCAUCUCAACACCGAAAGACUGCACAAAUUUUCAUCCCAAACAUGGCCGGCCAUCAGAGAUCAACGAGCUGGCCGUCUAUGGCUCAUCCCAACAAGAUUGACAUUCAAGAAGCUCUGCACAGCAUAAGCUCACUCAUUUCUACGCCAUCAGCUACCAUCGAAGUGGUAUGCGAUGGUCUGAGGAGGCUUGGAGAUGUCUACAGCUGCAUCAAUGAGGCCAUAUGCUUGCAUAGCAACCAGGUACAUGGGAAGAGGCUGGAGGAAGAAAUGGAGAGGUCGCUUCAGGUGCUGGAUCUCUGCAAUACCGUGCAAGAAAGCUUCACUGACCUGAAGAUGACCAUCCAGGAGCUGCAAAUGGUUCUCAACAGAGGAGACCUCCCAGUAGCUCAAGUUAAGGCUCAAUCCUAAGCCCGCUUGGUAAAGAAAGCCAAGCAUCACCUGAAGAAAGCUGUCAGCAAGUCUACCUCCCAUGAGGAUGCGUGGUUGGUCAGCUUAUUGAUCACAGCAAGAGGAAUCGCUGUCUUGGCGCUCAAAUCCGCAGUGGAGCUCUUGUCGAAGCAAAUGGCUACCUGCAGUGCGAGCAAGUGGUCCCUUAUCACCAAACCAAUCCAAAAGAAGAGAGUUUCAUGCGAGGAGGUGCAAUUGCAGGCACUAGAGUUGGGUAUUGUAGGCCUGGAGAGUUCAGUCGAGAACCUUUUCAGAAAUUUGAUCCAAACAAGGGUUUCUCUCCUGAACACUCUCAGCUCGUAGAUUCUCCGCUGGUGCACUGCCAUUGACAUCCAAAUUUUAUAGGACCUGUCAAUCAGCAUGAAAUUUUGUACAUUGAUUGUAUAUAGCUCAAAAGAUAUAGCAGUAGAUUAAAGGCAUGGUUCUAUUAUCUGGAAAAAGAAAUUGCAUAGGUCAUGUGUUCUCUAUCACUCACUUACGCUGCCAAUCGGUUUAAUGGACUUCAUUUUUUAAUUUAACUAGCCUGGAGGCUAGGGAUGCAAGUUUGGUCUUCUCUAGGUCAUUGGGUCGACACAAAAUUCAACCAAAAGAAUUAAUCCGGAUUUCAAAGCAAGAAAAGUGGAAAGAAAUGAACCAAGGGAGUGACCCACAACUACCAUUGGGUACCCACUUGUAUCCCUACUAGUGGCCCCCAUUUGAAAAACAAGUGCUGUCUCUAUGUAUUAUGUACAAUCAGAAUUUAUCAAAACUGAAACAACCAAAUGAAUUUACCUUAGCCGUGAUUGCUUGUUCCCUAGAAAAAACAAAUCACACAGUAUAACCUUAGUAUUCCCUCAGUCUUUUUACUAACUGGUAGAAUGGAAUUCAUGGAUUUCAUCAUUUGAGCAAUAAGUGCUAUCUCUAGUGAGCAAGCACAAAUGGUAUGCUUUACUUACCAAGUGGCCCAAUUGAGCAAUGUAAGUGCUAUCUCCAUGUACAGUGCACAAUCAGAAGUUAUCCCAACUGAAACCACAUAUUUGUGUACCUUUAACAAUUAUUACCUGUUUCCCACACUUCCUUCCAUGCCUACAGACCUAAAGUUUUCAAAUAUCUUGCCAGAUGCUCUCUGAAUUCAUAUAUGCUACUGCUGUAGAAGUUCGCUGUUAGAGGUUACCACUUCAUCUCAUUACAUUUCUGCUGCAUCCGUAGGAUUUUUUUCCUAUUAAUGUAAUAUGGCAUGAUUAUCUAAAGAUAGACAGCUGAAACUUAUGUUAAGUGUCAGCUAUACUGUUCGUUAAGUCAAAAGUCAUACUUACAUGGUAGUCCUUGCUGUUGUUGUAGUGCCAGCUGAAACAUGCCAGCAGUGCUGCACGAGCAAUGGAGGCGUCGAACACAUUGCAAGGUUGAAUUAUCAGCAGAGUAGACAAAUUAUUCCUCCCAAUCAACACCAAAACUACAGUUCUUCCCUUCUUCCUUGAUGAUCUCAUAUCUAGAUCUGAAAGUAACGUAAACCAUCGUGUAGAGUGAAUUGUCACUAAUAAUUCAGACAUGCCAGAUCAAUAAGCUCACUCAUUAACGUUUGUUGCAGUAUUAAACUGCAGGUGCCUAACAAUUUGUCUGUACUUCGGGGCUAUGCACCUCAACACAUCGCUUACCAACAGUGCACGGCAUAUGAAGGGUGGUGACCAAGAUUCCUUCUGUCAUUUGCUCUGUCCAUGCCAUUGCUUUUGCAGCUCUGUUAUAUAAAGGGAGAAGCCAAGGUCGAGCAUCAACAAACUGCAGCUUCUCUUGCCUAAUCUUCCCUUCCAUCUCCACUUCUCCAUAUAUUGCAUCAAAACUUCAUCCCCAAGCAUGGAUUCCCACCUGAGAUCCUCAAGUCUGCCUUCUAGCCCUCGCUCAAACAAAGCCAGAGUUGAGCAGCAGCUUGAGAGCUUGAAGACAAUCAUCUCUUCACCCUCAGCAACCAUUGAAACGAUGUGCAAUGGUUUGAAGAGGCUUAUAAGCAUCUAUAAUGGCAUUGAGGAGAUGAUAUGCACACCGAGCAACCAAGUUAGCCUCUGCCAAACCCUGCAAAGGAAGGCAGUUGAGGAAGAGCUCGAACGGUCGCUCGUCUUGCUUGACCUCUGCAACAUCAUGCAGGAAAGCUUCACCAACCUGAAGAUGAUUAUACAAGAACUGUUCCUGUCUCUUAAAAGAGGAGAUGAUGCAGCUGCUCAAGUCAGGGCAUACAUCCAGCUGACCAAGAAGGCACACAAACAGUUCAAGAAGGUCUUCAAAAAGACUACUUCUGAUGAGAAGGAUUGCAAGGUGGUGAUGGUACUGGAAGAAGCAAGACUGAUCACUACCUCGCUGCUCGAAUUCACAUCGUGCCUCUUGUCAAAGCAAUUUGAGAUGCCCAGGCGAUCUGUUAUCUCCAAAACAUUCCAGAAGGGAAAAUUAGUGUGUGAAGAGGAGCAAUUGCAGGCAUUAGAGUGCAGUAUCAGAGAUCUAGAGAGCGGAGCCGAGCUUCUGUUCAGGAGAUUGAUCCAGUGCAGAGUUUCUCUUCUGAAUACUCUUAGCUCAUAGAUAUCCCAAGCUCUAAUCCCCUGCGAUUGGCAUCCACCUUUUAUAGGAUUGUCAAUCAUCAAACAGUUUUGCAGCAUGUAUACCUGUAGACAUGUAUAGAAAGUUCAGAGAAUCAAAAGCUAAAACUUCUUUUGCCAAUUCAUGGUGUGAAUUAUAUAAUUUAUGCUUGCCCUUAAUAUCAUUAAUACCUUGGCAUCUCAAAUGUAUGGGGAGAAACUGACCAAAUGGACCAUUUGAACAACUGUUGUCUCUAUGUAGUAUGUACAACCGGAACCCCAGAAGUUAUAUAAACUGAAACCACAAAGACAAUUAACUUAACAGUGGUUGUUUCCUAGGCCUUUUGUUACAUAUUCUUAACCUGUGGUAAUUCCUUCGAUUUUGUUACUACACUGGUACAAUUGAUUUCAUGCACGAUUGUACCAACUUAGUGGCCCCUUUGAGCAAUAAGUGCUAUCUCUAGCUAGCAUGCACUAAUGUAUACUUUUACUGACCAAGUGGUCCAUUUGAACAAGAAGUUCCAUCCAUUCUUAGUAUGCACAAUCAGAAGUUAUACAAACUGAAAUGACAAAGACAUUACCAGAAUACUGAAACCUAAAGGCUUAAAACUUUACAAAUGUAUCGACCGAUACAGUUUGCAUUCAUAUGCUACUGCUGUAAGGUAGGUAGCUGUCCAAUCACCAAUUCAUCCCAUUACAUAUUUAUGGUAUGCUUGGGCCACUCCCGGUGGAGAGUUUGAUAGGAUUUCAUUAUUAUUAAUUAGCAUGCCACAUAGAAGUUGCAUCAAAUUUAAAGGGAGACACCUGGACACCACAGGUACCAACUGUUGGUGAGUCAUGAAAUUAAAUGUUAUUUGGAGCCUAUGAAACCCCAUGCAUUGGAAAGGUAGUUUCAAACACUAUUUUAUUUCCUUGUUUCUUAUGUGGCUAUCUAGGAAACAUCAAUAUGAAACCCCCACUGGGAUUGACCUUAGGAUGUUUUCCCUAUUAAAUUAAUCUGGCAUGAUUAUCUCAAGACAGAUAGAUUAGACCUAAUGUUAAACGUGAACCAUAACAUUCACUAAGUCAAUACUUGUGCGCUUACGUGGUUGUCCUUGCUGUUGCUGUGGUUGAUUGAAACAUGCCAGCGAUGCUGCACGAGUAGUGGAAACAUAGAACAUCGUGAGGUUGAAUUAUCAGCAGACAAUACAAACCAUUCCUCUCAAUCAACACCAAGACUACAGUUCUUCCCUUCUUCCUCUUCAUGACUCUUAUCCAGAUCUGAGAGUAACGCAAAUCCUCAUGCAGAGUGGGCGAGUGGCUGUUGCCAAUAAUUAAGACAUGCUAGGCACAUAACCUCACUCAUAACAUUUGUUGCAAUAUUAAAAUGCAGGCGCAUAACAACUUGUCUGGACUUCCAUCACUUAACACCGGUGCACGGCAUAUGGAGGGUAGUGGCAAAGAUUCUUUCUGUCGUUUGCUUUAUUCAUGCCAUUGCUUCUGCAUUCUGUUAUAUAUAGAGAGAAGCCUGGGUUGAGCACCAACAAACUGCAGCUUGUCUUGCCUAAUCCUCUCUUCCAUUUCCAGUCCUCCAUAAACAUUAAACAGCAUCAUAGUUUCAUCUUUGAGCAAUGGCUUCCCAUCUGAGAUCCGCAAGUUUGCCUUCUAGCCCUUGCUCAAACAAAGCUGAAGUCGAGCAGCAGCUGCAGAGCCUGAAGACAACCAUGGCUUCAUCAUCAGCAACCAUUGACAUGAUGUGUGAUGGUUUGUGGAGGCUUGGAAACCUCUACAGCGAAAUUGAGGAGAUGAUGUGCACGCCAAGCAACCAAAUCAACCUCUGCUAAACCCUGCAAAGGAAGGCAGUGGAGGAAGAGCUUGGGUGGUCACUUGUGUUGCUUGACCUCUGCAAUGCCAUGCAGGAAAACUUCAUCGAGAUGAUGAUGAAAGUACAAGAACUGCUCUUUUCUCUCAAAAGAGGAGAUGAUGCAGCUGCUCAACUCAAGGCAUACAUCCAGAUAACAAACAAGGCGCACAAACAGUUCAAGAAGGUCUGCAAAAAGACAACUUCUGAUGAGAAGGAUUGCAGGGUGAUCAAGCUACUAGCAGAAGCAAGAUCGAUCACUACCUCAGUGCUUGAAUACACAUCGUGCCUCUUGUGUAAGCAAAUUGAGAUGCCCAAAAGGUCUCUUAUCUCCAAAGCAUUCUAGAAAAGAAAAGUAGUGUGCGAAGAGGAGCAAUUGAAGGCAUUAGAGUGCAGUAUCGGAGAUCUUGAGAGCGGAGUGGAUCUUCUGUUCAGGAGAUUGAUCCAGUGCAGAGUUUCUCUUCUGAAUACUCUUAGCUCAUAGAUGCCCCUAGUUCUAAACCCCUGUGAUUGGCAUCCAACUUUUAAAGGAUUAGUCAAUCAUUAGAACAGUUUUGCAGUAUGUAUACUUGUGGAUAUGUACAGAAAAAUUCACUGAAUCAAAAUAUAGAAAGUUCUUUGCCAAUUCAUGUUGUGAAUUUCAUCAUUUAUGCAUGCCUGUGAUAUUAUUAAUAUGCUAACUACAUCACUUGCUAUAUCGUCCUCUACACGCAUGUCUAAGAAAAGCUGUACUGCUGCUAAAAAAGAUUGAUGUGUUGGUUACGGGCCACAUGGCCUUAGCUAGUUUGCAAAUGCCAUGUUACUCACAUUUGCCUCAUGUGCACAAUUCUUCUAUAAUGGGUCCUGCUCUAUGCAGCUGAAACAUGCCAGCUCAAUAGACGAAAGCAGAAGCUAUAACUGUGUGAUUAACGUGAUUGUAACCAAGUAAAGCAUCUGCUUUUUCACUAAAUAACAAUAAUCAUACUGAUACAUAUACCACCAAUAAUAUCCAGUUAACAAACUGUUAAACACUUACCUGCACUAUAUUCAAGACCCACAGCAAUACCAAGAACGAAUGCAGAUUCUUGCUACCAAUAAUUGGAACAUGAUAGAGUGUCACUCCCAUUUUCGAGAUGCCUGCUGCCUGGUGGUCCAGAGUAACAUAAAUCACGUGGAAAACCUUGAUGGUAUGGCAAUUCUGCAGCACUGUCCUGAAACCACAGCAGACAGCAUCUUGAAAAUGAAAUGGCAUGAUUCCCUCUGUCUACCACUCAAAAGAUGUUCUCUUAGCUGCUUCUGGUGUAUAAAUAGGCCUUGAAGAAGGGAUGGACACAUCAAACCAAAGUUUCUUCUAUCAUCCCCCAACACCUCAAGUCCUCAAACCUCAGAUACUCUAAUACAAACAAUGGCUUUCCAUCUACGAUCAGUUAGCCUGCCAUCUAAGAGGCUCUCCAAUGAGGCUGAAAUCGAAGCCGAGCUGCAAAGCCUGGAGGCAAGCACCUCUUCCCCCUCUGCAACCAUCGAGUCAGCAUGCGAUGGUUUGAGGAGGCUUGGAGAUGUCUACAGCCACAUCGAGGAGAUCAUCCACUUGCCCAGCAACCAAGUUUGCUCCAUCCAGCAAAGGAAGGAGUUGGAUGAGGAAAUGGAAA
rnacentral:lncRNA from 1 species